rnacentral:rRNA from 2 species
GAACGCUGGCGGCGUGCCUAAUACAUGCAAGUCGAACGAGUUCUCGUUGAUGAUCGGUGCUUGCACCGAGAUUCAACAUGGAACGAGUGGCGGACGGGUGAGUAACACGUGGGUAACCUGCCCUUAAGUGGGGGAUAACAUUUGGAAACAGAUGCUAAUACCGCAUAGAUCCAAGAACCGCAUGGUUCUUGGCUGAAAGAUGGCGUAAGCUAUCGCUUUUGGAUGGACCCGCGGCGUAUUAGCUAGUUGGUGAGGUAAUGGCUCACCAAGGCGAUGAUACGUAGCCGAACUGAGAGGUUGAUCGGCCACAUUGGGACUGAGACACGGCCCAAACUCCUACGGGAGGCAGCAGUAGGGAAUCUUCCACAAUGGACGCAAGUCUGAUGGAGCAACGCCGCGUGAGUGAAGAAGGCUUUCGGGUCGUAAAACUCUGUUGUUGGAGAAGAAUGGUCGGCAGAGUAACUGUUGUCGGCGUGACGGUAUCCAACCAGAAAGCCACGGCUAACUACGUGCCAGCAGCCGCGGUAAUACGUAGGUGGCAAGCGUUAUCCGGAUUUAUUGGGCGUAAAGCGAGCGCAGGCGGUUUUUUAAGUCUGAUGUGAAAGCCCUCGGCUUAACCGAGGAAGCGCAUCGGAAACUGGGAAACUUGAGUGCAGAAGAGGACAGUGGAACUCCAUGUGUAGCGGUGAAAUGCGUAGAUAUAUGGAAGAACACCAGUGGCGAAGGCGGCUGUCUGGUCUGUAACUGACGCUGAGGCUCGAAAGCAUGGGUAGCGAACAGGAUUAGAUACCCUGGUAGUCCAUGCCGUAAACGAUGAAUGCUAGGUGUUGGAGGGUUUCCGCCCUUCAGUGCCGCAGCUAACGCAUUAAGCAUUCCGCCUGGGGAGUACGACCGCAAGGUUGAAACUCAAAGGAAUUGACGGGGGCCCGCACAAGCGGUGGAGCAUGUGGUUUAAUUCGAAGCAACGCGAAGAACCUUACCAGGUCUUGACAUCUUUUGAUCACCUGAGAGAUCAGGUUUCCCCUUCGGGGGCAAAAUGACAGGUGGUGCAUGGUUGUCGUCAGCUCGUGUCGUGAGAUGUUGGGUUAAGUCCCGCAACGAGCGCAACCCUUAUGACUAGUUGCCAGCAUUUAGUUGGGCACUCUAGUAAGACUGCCGGUGACAAACCGGAGGAAGGUGGGGAUGACGUCAAAUCAUCAUGCCCCUUAUGACCUGGGCUACACACGUGCUACAAUGGAUGGUACAACGAGUUGCGAGACCGCGAGGUCAAGCUAAUCUCUUAAAGCCAUUCUCAGUUCGGACUGUAGGCUGCAACUCGCCUACACGAAGUCGGAAUCGCUAGUAAUCGCGGAUCAGCACGCCGCGGUGAAUACGUUCCCGGGCCUUGUACACACCGCCCGUCACACCAUGAGAGUUUGUAACACCCGAAGCCGGUGGCGUAACCCUUUUAGGGAGCGAGCCGUCUAAGGUGGGACAAAUGAUUA